rnacentral:rRNA from 1 species
CCUACGGGAGGCAGCAGUGGGGGAUAUUGCACAAUGGGGGAAACCCUGAUGCAGCGACGCCGCGUGGAGGAAGAAGGUUUUCGGAUUGUAAACUCCUGUCGUUAGGGACGAUAAUGACGGUACCUAACAAGAAAGCACCGGCUAACUACGUGCCAGCAGCCGCGGUAAAACGUAGGGUGCAAGCGUUGUCCGGAAUUACUGGGUGUAAAGGGAGCGCAGGCGGACCGGCAAGUUGGAAGUGAAAACUAUGGGCUCAACCCAUAAAUUGCUUUCAAAACUGCUGGCCUUGAGUAGUGCAGAGGUAGGUGGAAUUCCCGGUGUAGCGGUGGAAUGCGUAGAUAUCGGGAGGAACACCAGUGGCGAAGGCGACCUACUGGGCACCAACUGACGCUGAGGCUCGAAAGCAUGGGUAGCAAACAGGAUUAGAUACCCCAGUAGU